UUUUAUUGUUGUUAGCUGCCCUGAGCCCGGCUUCGGCUCAGGGCAGCUAACAACAAUAAAA
rnacentral:miRNA from 1 species